UGAUGCCUGGCAGUUCCCUACUCUCGCAUGGGGAGACCCCACACUACCAUCGGCGCUACGGCGUUUCACUUCUGAGUUCGGCAUGGGGUCAGGUGGGACCACCGCGCUANNNNNNNNNNNNNNNNNNNNUCAGGUGGGACCACCGCGCUACUGCCGCCAGGCAAAUUCUGUUAUCAGACCGUUUUUACGUUCUGAUGUAAUCUGAAUCAGUGCUGAAAAUCGUCUCUCAUCCGCNNNNNNNNNNNNNNNNNNNNGAAUCAGUGCUGAAAAUCGUCUCUCAUCCGCCAAAACAUCUUCGGCGUUGUAAGGUUAAGCCUCACGGUUCAUUAGUACCGGUUAGCUCAACGCAUCGCUGCGCUUACACACCCGGCCUAUCAACGUCGUCGUCUUCAACGUUCCUUCAGGAGACCUAAAGUCUCAGGGAGAACUCAUCUCGGGGCAAGUUUCGUGCUUAGAUGCUUUCAGCACUUAUCUCUUCCGCAUUUAGCUACCGGGCAGUGCCAUUGGCAUGACAACCCGAACACCAGUGAUGCGUCCACUCCGGUCCUCUCGUACUAGGAGCAGCCCCCCUCAGUUCUCCAGCGCCCACGGCAGAUAGGGACCGAACUGUCUCACGACGUUCUAAACCCAGCUCGCGUACCACUUUAAAUGGCGAACAGCCAUACCCUUGGGACCUACUUCAGCCCCAGGAUGUGAUGAGCCGACAUCGAGGUGCCAAACACCGCCGUCGAUAUGAACUCUUGGGCGGUAUCAGCCUGUUAUCCCCGGAGUACCUUUUAUCCGUUGAGCGAUGGCCCUUCCAUUCAGAACCACCGGAUCACUAUGACCUGCUUUCGCACCUGCUCGCGCCGUCACGCUCGCAGUCAAGCUGGCUUAUGCCAUUGCACUAACCUCCUGAUGUCCGACCAGGAUUAGCCAACCUUCGUGCUCCUCCGUUACUCUUUAGGAGGAGACCGCCCCAGUCAAACUACCCACCAGACACUGUCCGCAACCCGGGUAACGGGUCCACGUUAGAACAUCAAACAUUAAAGGGUGGUAUUUCAAGGUCGGCUCCAUGCAGACUGGCGUCCACACUUCAAAGCCUCCCACCUAUCCUACACAUCAAGGCUCAAUGUUCAGUGUCAAGCUAUAGUAAAGGUUCACGGGGUCUUUCCGUCUUGCCGCGGGUACACUGCAUCUUCACAGCGAGUUCAAUUUCACUGAGUCUCGGGUGGAGACAGCCUGGCCAUCAUUACGCCAUUCGUGCAGGUCGGAACUUACCCGACAAGGAAUUUCGCUACCUUAGGACCGUUAUAGUUACGGCCGCCGUUUACCGGGGCUUCGAUCAGGAGCUUCGCUUGCGCUGACCCCAUCAAUUAACCUUCCGGCACCGGGCAGGCGUCACACCGUAUACGUCCACUUUCGUGUUUGCACAGUGCUGUGUUUUUAAUAAACAGUUGCAGCCAGCUGGUAUCUUCGACUGACUUCAGCUCCAUGAGUAAAUCACUUCACCUACGUGUCAGCGUGCCUUCUCCCGAAGUUACGGCACCAUUUUGCCUAGUUCCUUCACCCGAGUUCUCUCAAGCGCCUUGGUAUUCUCUACCUGACCACCUGUGUCGGUUUGGGGUACGAUUUGAUGUUACCUGAUGCUUAGAGGCUUUUCCUGGAAGCAGGGCAUUUGUUGCUUCAGCACCGUAGUGCCUCGUCGUCACGCCUCAGUGUUAAAGUGAACCGGAUUUACCUGGAACACACACCUACACGCUUAAACCGGGACAACCGUCGCCCGGCCAACAUAGCCUUCUCCGUCCCCCC
rnacentral:rRNA from 1 species